rnacentral:rRNA from 1 species
UACGAAGGGGGCGAGCGUUGUUCGGAAUCACUGGGCGUAAAGGGCGCGUAGGCGGCCCUUCUUGUCGCGUGUGAAAGCCCCGGGCUCAACCUAGGAACGGCGCGCGAGACGGGAGGGCUGGAGUUCGGGAGAGGAGCGUGGAAUUCCCAGUGUAGAGGUGAAAUUCGUAGAUAUUGGGAAGAACACCGGUGGCGAAGGCGGCGCUCUGGACCGAGACUGACGCUGAGGCGCGAAAGCGUGGGGAGCAAACAGG